CUUACAACCUCGUUCCCAGGCUCUUUCCUCUUUUUGAGGAAUCAAAAAGAGGGAAGAGCCUGGGAACGAGGUUGAUUGCCU